UGUGAGUGGAAAGAUAAGUGCGGGUGAAGCACUUGAUGGAGUUGUAAAAAUAUUCGCUAUUUUAGUUACCAUUGUGGUUGUUGCUGUCCCUGAAGGGCUUCCUUUGGUUGUUACCUUAACCCUAGCUUACUCCAUGAGGAAAAUGAUGGCAGACAAGGCCUUGGCAAGUAUCUUGAUCAUUAUUUUGUGCUUAUUGCACGAUGGUUGUUCUGAAGACCAUGCAGUAAUCAAAUACAAAAUUUUAUUAUGCCUCCUCCA